AGAGUUUGAUCCUGGCUCAGAACGAACGCUGGCGGCGUACUUAACACAUGCAAGUCGGACGAGAAAGGAGACUUCGGUCUCUGAGUACAGUGGCGCACGGGUGCGUAACACGUAAGUAAUCUACCCUGAACUCUGGGAUAACCCUCCGAAAGGAGGGCUAACACUGGAUAGGGUCCCCGAGGUGUAGGCUGCGGGGGAAAACGGCCUCUGUUCCAUGCUCGUGGUUCGGGAUGAGCUUGCGGCCCAUUAGCUUGUUGGUAGGGUAAUGGCUUACCAAGGGCGACGAUGGGUAGCUGGUCUGAGAGGAUGAUCAGCCACACUGGCACUGAGACACGGGCCAGACUCCUACGGGAGGCAGCAGUGGGGAAUUUUGCGCAAUGGGCGAAAGCCUGACGCAGUAACGCCGCGUGGAGGAUGAAGGCCUUCGGGUUGUAAACUCCUGUCAGGGGAACGACGGGGAAAGGGUGAUAAAUUCUUUCCUCCAGACGGUACCUCCAAAGGAAGCCCCGGCUAAUUCCGUG
rnacentral:rRNA from 1 species